GACGUAGGGCGCAAGCGUUGUCCGGAUUUAUUGGGCGUAAAGAGCUCGUAGGCGGCUUGUUGCGUCGGCCGUGAAAACCUGUGGCUCAACUACAGGCUUGCGGUCGAUACGGGCGGGCUGGAGUUCGGUAGGGGAGACUGGAAUUCCUGGUGUAGCGGUGAAAUGCGCAGAUAUCAGGAGGAACACCGGUGGCGAAGGCGGGUCUCUGGGCCGAUACUGACGCUGAGGAGCGAAAGCGUGGGGAGCGAACAGG
rnacentral:rRNA from 1 species